ACUAAAUAGAUACCCUGGUAGUCCACGCCGUAAACGAUGAUUACUCGCUGUUGGCGAUACACUGUCAGCGGCUAAAGCAAAAGCAAUAAGUAAUCCACCUGGGGAGUACGGCCGCAAGGUUGAAACUCAAAGGAAUUGACGGGGGCCCGCACAAGCGGAGGAACAUGUGGUUUAAAUUCGAUGAUACGCGAGGAACCUUACCUGGGCUUAAAUGUAGAGUGCAUUUUCUAGAGAUAGGAAUUCCCUUCGGGGCGUUUCUGCAAGGUGCUGCAUGGUUGUCGUCAGCUCGUGCCGUGAGGUGUCGGGUUAAGUCCCAUAACGAGCGCAACCCUUAUCGUUAGUUGCCAUCUGGUAAAGCAGGGGACUCUAGCG
rnacentral:rRNA from 1 species